ACCUGUUCUUACCUUACGAGAUAGGUGGUAGGCUGGUCUUAACCUGUUCUCACCUUACGAGAUAGGCGGUAGGCUGGUCUUAACCUGUUCUUACCUUACGAGAUAGGUGGUAGGCUGGUCUUAACCUGUUCUCACCUUACGAGAUAGGCGGUAGGCUGGUCUUAACCUGUUCUUACCUUACGAGAUAGGCGGUAGACUGGUCUUAACCUGUUCUCACUUUACGAGAUAGGCGGUAGACUGGUCUUAACCUGUUCUUACCUUACGAGAUAGGUGGUAGGCUGGUCUUAACCUGUUCUCACCUUACGAGAUAGGCGGUAGGCUGGUCUUAACCUGUUCUUACCUUACGAGAUAGGCGGUAGACUGGUCUUAACCUGUUCUCACUUUACGAGAUAGGUGGUAGGUUAGUCUUAGCCUGUUCUCACUGUACGAGAUAGGCGGUAGACUGGUCUUAACCUGUUCUCACCAUACGAGAUAGGUGGUAGGCUGGUCUUAACCUGUUCUCAUCAUACGAGAUAGGCUGGUCUUAAACUGUUCUUACUAUACGAGAUAGGCGGUAGGUUAGUCUUAACCUGUUUUCACCGUACGAGAUAGACGAUAGGUUUGCCUUAACCUGUUCUCACUGUACGAGAUAGGCGGUAGACUAGUCUUAACCUGUUCUCAUCAUACGAGAUAGGCGGUAGGCUAGUCUUAGCCUGUUCUCACUGUGCGAGAUAGGUGGUAGGUUAGUCUUAACCUGUUCUCACUUUACGAGAUAGGCGGUAGACUAGUCUUAACCUGUUCUCAUCGUACGAGAUAGGCGGUAGGUUAGUCUUACCCUGCUCUCACUAUAUGAGAUAGGUGGUAGGUUAGUCUUAACCUGUUCUCACCAUACGAGAUAGGCGGUAGACUAGUCUUAACCUGUUCUCAUCAUACGAGAUAGGCGGUAGGCUGGUCUUAACCUGUUCUCACCAUACGAGAUAGGCGGUAGGCUGGUCUUAACCUGUUCUCACUGUACGAGAUAGGCGGUAGGCUGGUCUUAACCUGUUCUCAUUUUACGAGAUAGGCGGUAGACUAGUCUUAACCUGUUCUCACCAUACGAGAUAGGUGGUAGGCUAGUCUUAACCUGUUCUUACCUUACGAGAUAGGUGGUAGGCUAGUCUUAACCUGUUCUCACCAUACGAGAUAGGCGGUAGGCUAGUCUUAACCUGUUCUUACUAUACGAGACAGAUGAUAUGCUGGCUGAGCUCACAAGAUAGGUGGUAGGCUGGUCAGAAACAGUGUAUAUUUGUUAUAUAAACGUUGUCAGUCCAUCAAUCGGCUACAAUUCUAUGAUCACUGUCUGAUAUAUACAUGUAUAUUAAUUAAUGACAUAGACUGAUAUUAAACACAUGUCUAUCAGCGCUUAAAUGGAAACUACAUCUGCCCAUCACAGUCCUACUAUUGUCACGGCGCUGGUCGCUGUAACAAUGGGGACAUUCACAAUACCAUAUUGUACGAUUUACCUCCACAUUCUUGUUCAUUCAUGUUUAGAUCGUCUACACAUUGGGACAAGUGAGCUUAUAUCGUGAUGCGGCCACCGUCGUUCAUCUGAUAUCAACAAUGUCCUUUAAACGUUGAACACAUAUAACCAAGAGACAUAGGGCCAUGGUAUUUGGUUCUUAGCAUGCUUGGAUGAAGUACUACAGAUUUUAAAAUGACCUUGACCUAUAUACAAGAUCUCGGUGGUCAAACGUGGUCAAAUCGGGAAAUUAUUCAUUUUCUUUUUUUUUGUUUUCGAAUUGUUAUAACACAUAUAACAAUCAUUGAAAAAGAAAAUGUAUGAAUUUGAGUUCCACAAUUUUUUUUUUACCUAAAUCAGUUUUGAAAUUUAGAAAUUCAAAUUAUCCACCAAACUGAUGAGCUGCAGAAUAGGUGAACGACACAGGCCCAUUGGACUUCUUGUAUAUUCCUCUCAAGUCUAGCUAUCCAGCCAUAUGAUCAUCUUUUCAUAAUCACUUUCAUAAUCCAUCGUCGAUUAUGCUGAAAUGUAGAUAACCCAAGUACACUGUACUUAGAGUUACCGUAGUAGAACACUAGAUUGUGGCAUCAUAGUAAAACUACGUAUAUCGCCCUGUGAUCAGGUAGGUUCUGAUGUUUCCUGCAAAAUAUAAUUACCUGUGUUUAAUAUACCUUUCUCAUUCCCUCUUAUACCGAAUUACCUUUAUCUCAAUUAUCAGCGUUCUGAUCAUUUGUUGUGAAAACUUGAGUACACCAAUAAAAGCAUGUUGAUGCCUGCAGUAAA